AAAAAAUAAUAUUAAUUAGAACUUUUUGCAUUUUGACCGAAAUCAAUUUAAUAAGAGUUAUUUUUGUUAAAAAUUUACAGUGUGGGAUGGUCUUACAUUCGAUAUCAGCACGCUUAUCCAUUGUUUGAUGUGGCUUACUUUUGGGUAUCUUAAAACUGUAGGAGUGCCGAACCUUGGAGGGAAAUAUACAGCGGAAGCAUAGUUAAGCGAAACGGUAAUUAUAAAGGAAAACGCUGUGAAACAGAUUUCAUAGUGGGAAAGUUAAGCUAAAAAUGUCACGUUUACCAAAAGACAUUUCUUUAACCGAAGAGAAAGAGUCCUUGUUUAGGGUCAUAUAAUCUGUAUAAAAUUAACUGCAAUUUCAUUCUCCCCCGCUAUUUUAUUGGCAUGUUCAUGAAUUGUAACAAGCG